rnacentral:rRNA from 1 species
UACAGGGGGGGCAAGCGUUGUUCGGAAUUACUGGGCGUAAAGGGCUCGUAGGUGGCCAACUAAGUCAGACGUGAAAUCCCUCAGCUUAACUGGGGAACUGCGUCUGAUACUGGAUGGCUUGAGUUUGGGAGAGGGAUGCGGAAUUCGAGGUGUAGCGGUGAAAUGCGUAGAUAUCUGGAGGAACACCGGUGGCGAAGGCAGCAUCCUGGACGAACACUGACACUGAGGAGCGAAAGCCAGGGGAGCAAACGGG